GAUGAAGAACGCAGCGAAAUGCGAUAAGUAAUGUGAAUUGCAGAAUUCAGUGAAUCAUCGAAUCUUUGAACGCACAUUGCGCCCGCCAGCAUUCUGGCGGGCAUGCCUGUUCGAGCGUCAUUUCAACCCUCGAGCCCCCCCGGGGGCCUCGGUGUUGGGGGACGGCACACCAGCCGCCCCCGAAAUGCAGUGGCGACCUCGCCGCAGCCUCCCCUGCGUAGUAGCACACACCUCGCACCGGAGCGCGGAGACGGUCACGCCGUAAAACGCCCAACUUCUUAGAGUUGACCUCGGAUCAGGUAGGAAUAUCCGCUGAACUUAAGCAUAUCAAUAAGCGGAGGA
rnacentral:misc_RNA from 1 species